AACGAACGCUGGCGGCAUGCCUAACACAUGCAAGUCGAACGAGACCUUCGGGUCUAGUGGCGCACGGGUGCGUCACGCGUGGGAACCUGCCCUUAGGUUCGGCCUAACUCCCCGACAGGGGUGCUAAUACCGGAUAAUGUCUUCGGACCAAGGAUUUAUCGCCUUUGGAUGGACCCGCGUUGGAUUAGCUCGUUGUUAGGGUAAGAGCCUACCAAGGCGUCGAUCCAUAGCUGGUUUGAGAGGAUGGUCAGCCACACUGGGACUAAGACACGGCCGAGACUCCUACGGGAGGCAGCAGUGGGGAAUAUUGGACAAUGGGGGAAAGCCUGAUCCAGCUAGGCCGGGUGAGUGAUGAAGGCCGUAGGGUUGUAAAGCUCUUGUACCCGGGAUGAUAAUGACAGUACCGGGAGAAUAAGCCCCGGCUAACUCCGUG
rnacentral:rRNA from 1 species